UUUCUAUCAUUUUGACAGUUGACAUGUUUUCUUGCAAAUUCGCUCUUUUGAAACCUCUUCUUCGCAAUAUUUUGCGUCUCAAUGGCAUUUAGGUUGUAAAGAAUAGUAGCAAGCGUCUAUAUAUCGUUAUGCUAACAUGGUGGCGUUCUUAAAGUGAUAAAGAAAGAGGGUUAUAGCUAGCGAGGAUACUUGAAUGGACGCAGUCAGCACACAGGCUUUAUGGAUCAAUUAAGUUCAAGAAAAAUCAUAAAGAAAAAGGUCAAGAUAAGAUUUAAAAUCAAGAUGUCUAUAUCCGGAGAACGGUAACCAAUGCUCAACGCAGCAGCUUCUUGGACAUCCUUUUAUCCUCUCCAAAUCUCAUGUCGCGCGGUUUAAGCAAUAACAUCACUCCAGACAAGCCCGACGCUACAAAAGAUCAAGGGAGAAAUCAAAAUGGCUGUGAUGAUGGACAUGAGUCUCCUUAUUUGAUGCCUAUGCCUUUCGGCUACGCUGCGAGAAAUUCAAGAGUUCUGAAUGAAUUUGAAGCGUUGCAAAUGCUUGGAAAAAGGAGGGUUUCGUUCACUUGUCAAUUUGUCUUUUUAUUACAUAAAUCGUUUAAAUAGACGGUAAUUUGGUCACGCGAAGGAAUUUUGUAAGCCAAAAACAUGGCGGAUUUUGGUGGUCAAAGUCAGCGGAGAGACGCGGGCU